GAUGAACGCUAGCUCCAGGCUUAACACAUGCAAGUCGAGGGACCGGCGCACGGGUGAGUAACACGUAUCCAACCUGCCCUCUACUCGGGGAUAGCCUUUCGAAAGAAAGAUUAAUACCCGAUAUAAAGGAUGGGGAUGCGUUCCAUUAGGUUGUUGGUGAGGUAACGGCUCACCAAGCCUUCGAUGGAUAGGGGUUCUGAGAGGAAUGUCCCCCAGAUUGGAACCGAGACACGAUCCAAGCUCCUACGAGAGACAGCAGAGAGGAAUAUUGGUCAAUGGGCUCUAACCUGACCCAGCCAAGUAGCGUGAACGAUGAAGGCUUAUGAGUCGUAAACUUCUUUUAUAUAAGAAUGUGUAUUAUAUGAAUAAGGAUCGGCUAACUCCGUGCCAGCAGCCGCGGUAAUAC
rnacentral:rRNA from 1 species